rnacentral:rRNA from 1 species
UACGUAGGUGGCAAGCGUUGUCCGGAUUUAUUGGGUUUAAAGGGUGCGUAGGCGGCCCUGUAAGUCAGUGCUGAAAUACUCCAGCUUAACUGGAGGGGGUGCCAAUGAUACUGCAGAACUUGAGUACAGAUGAGGUAGGCGGAAUUGACGGUGUAGCGGUGAAAAUGCAUAGAUAUCGUCAAGAAACACCCGAUACGAAAGGCAGCUUUCUGGGGCUGUAAACUGACGCUGAG